UACGAACGCUGGCGGCAGGCCUAACACAUGCAAGUCGAACGGUUGUAGCAAUACAGCCGUGGCGCACGGGUGAGUAACGCGUGGGAAUCUGCCCAGUAGUACGGAAUAACAGUUGGAAACGACUGACAAUACCGUAUACGCCCUUCGGGGGAAAGUUUUUCGCUAUUGGAUGAGCCCGCGUCAGAUUAGCUAGUUGGUGGGGUAAUGGCCUACCAAGGCGACGAUCUGUAGCUGUUCUGAGAGGAAGACCAGCCACACUGGAACUGAGACACGGUCCAGACUCCUACGGGAGGCAGCAGUGGGGAAUAUUGGACAAUGGGCGAAAGCCUGAUCCAGCCAUGCCGCGUGAGUGAUGAAGGCCUUAGGGUUGUAAAGCUCUUUUGGCGGGGAAGAUAAUGACGGUACCCGCAGAAUAAAGUUAGCCACGUGUGGUUAUUUGUAGGUACUGUAU
rnacentral:rRNA from 1 species